rnacentral:rRNA from 1 species
CAUACGCGUCAGAGUUUGAUCCUGGCUCAGGAUGAACGCUGGCGGCGUGCCUAAUACAUGCAAGUCGAACGAAGUUACUUCGGUAACUUAGUGGCGAACGGGUGAGUAACACAUGAACAACCUACCCUGACGACAGGGAUAACAGUUUGAAAAGACUGCUAAUACCUGAUAGGUGUAACGGGGACAUCCCUGAUACAUUAAAGUUGGGAUACAACGCGACAGGAUGGGUUCAUGUCGCAUUAGCUAGUUGGCGGGGUAACGGCCCACCAAGGCGAUGAUGCGUAGCCGAUCUGAGAGGAUGAACGGCCACAUUGGGACUGAGACACGGCCCAG